GUCAAAGGGGAGUCGGAUUCCCUGACACACCGCGGUUUUCCUUUCCUAACUCCUCGUGAAUUCUCCUAACCGUCUUUCCUUGAGCCCGUGACGUUUUCCACGCAGCUCACGGAAUAGUAUUUAGGAAUUUACGGUAUGAGGUAUGAGGUCUUGUCUUUGUUUGACAAUUCGAAUCCGGCCACGAUCUGCGUUUCUCGUGAACGGCCCGAACGAAACGUCGCCAUUUAAAUGUUGCAAGGAACUGUGCGAUGGAAUUAUCUCCUUUCCUUUCGUGCUUCCUAUACUAAAGGAGCUACGUAAGGACGCAUUGAAGCUCCUUUCCUCAGCACUAGACAACUUAAGCAGCUCUCAUCACGUCGGCCGGGCAGAUACUUCCGUCUAGGGGAGGAACCUUCCUCAGCAAGAAGGACGAAUCGAGCCUAGAACGCGAACAGCUGAUGACGUUUCACGAGAACACACGUGGUACCGAGGUAGCCGCAUACGUACGUCUGUGGUCAGUGGGCCGACGUGACCUUGUCAAACAGAAAGCUAAGCUUAAUUACGUAGCAUCCCGUCAUGACGUAAUCAUGUCUGUAUGUUAGUGCGCCUGCAGGUGUCGAGCUUCACUUUAAAUGGUACAGUGUCAUGUGAAUAUGAAGUGUUUAUACAGAAUAAAUAAUAAUAACAUGUAACUGUGGCGUCAUGAUGAGGUUAUUAGCUUAUUCAACUGUGGUAGACGGCACAGAAGGCCGAGGUAGAAAAUGUACUGUCUCCCGCUGUCUUCCAGAUGUCUUACGUGAGGACAAGGACAAUUCCCCUUCUGUACCUGCUGGAAUGAGCAGCUGUCUUCAGGUCAAAGUGCGUUUUGAAAGCAGCGUACUAAAUGUACUACUGGAUUUACUGUACAAGUCAAAUAAUACUACGGAACUGCAUAUCCUGGUCUGUUACAAUGGUAUCAACGUGUACUAGAGAUACAAUUACAUGAGAUAAGAUUCAUGAAUUCCAAAUGGAAAAUACCACAAGACACUGACCAGGCAAAGAUACAAUGAAGGCAAAAAUAAUCCAAACUUAAGAGAGCUGAAUAAUGAAUUAUUAAUCAAAUCAAAUAAAUAACAGUAGAGUAAGUACAAAAAAUAGACACUAGAAAUAAUAAUAGAAAUAAGAAAGUUGUGAAGACAAUCCAGUAGCAUGUAGGCCGGUGUACAUAAAUAUGCUUUGUGUAUUAAUGUAGAAUACAGUGUGUGCAUGAUGCCGGACCUCAGCCAAAAGCGCCUGAAUUCAACCAAUAAGAACAUUUUGAUUGUAAGUCAUUGUAAUUGUCCAGAGACAAAAAAAAUAGAAAUGAAAUUGGUUCAAAUACUUAAUUCAACUACUGUUGGGUAACCUUUGCACGGGCAUCUACAAUAGCAAAAGAAAAGAAUAGAGCCACGGGACAAAUAACAAAAGUGAAAAGACCAAACUGAGCAGACGGACAGCCGGGUGACCUGCAGCCAACAGGCGGUAACAGCUCUCAGGCAGACGGUGGCAGUAGAGUGAAUCCAAAUGUCUCCGUGGUGCAAACGGGUGGGACAGUUUACCCUGAGGAAUGUUCCCCGUUACAACACUGUAGCCUAAAGAUCCCCUUUUUUACAUACCAGGUGCCCUCGUCUGCUCUUUCUGUAUUAAGUUAAACAUUCUGAAAGAUGGGCAGGACAACGCAUCUAAUCUUUACUAACCGCCACGAUCUGUGCAGUCAAUAUGUCUUCCAUGAACUUGCUCCACCGGGUGUAACAAUGAGAGAAACAACCAGGGGACGUCCGGCCACAUUAAAUCUGCUCAAACUUGUUGCCCAUAUUGCUGAAGGCAAACCUCCGUGUGUAUGUAUUUGUGUGUGUGUGUGUGUGUGUGUGUGUGUGUGUGUAAGCAGGUCCACAGGAAGUUUGGGGUAUUUUGUUUGUCUUCAUUUUAAUUAGUUACUGUGUCUGGGAGUUUGUCGUUACAUUUUAAUGGAUGAUUGUGUUUUUUCUCUGCUACAAGUGGGUUGAAUUUAUUAAUCCUUGUGUUACUCUAUAUUUUAAUGUAAAGCCCAUUGAGUUUACUUGUGUAUAUAUUCCUUGUAUGUCUGACAUAUUAUGGCAAUAAAUGUUUCC
ensembl:lncRNA